UACAGAGGUCCCGAGCGUUGUUCGGAUUCACUGGGCGUAAAGGGCGUGUAGGCGGCUUCGUAAGUCUUGUGUGAAAGCCCUCGGCUCAACCGAGGAAUUGCACGAGAAACUGCGUGGCUCGAGUCCGGGAGAGGAUAGUGGAAUUCCCAGUGUAGCGGUGAAAUGCGUAGAUAUUGGGAGGAACACCGGUGGCGAAGGCGGGCUAUCUGGACCGGUACUGACGCUGAUACGCGAAAGCCAGGGGAGCAAACGGGG
rnacentral:rRNA from 1 species